rnacentral:rRNA from 1 species
AUUGAACGCUGGCGGCAUGCCUUACACAUGCAAGUCGAACGGCAGCACGGGAGCAAUCCUGGUGGCGAGUGGCGAACGGGUGAGUAAAGUAUCGGAACGUGCCCAGUCGUGGGGGAUAACGUAGCGAAAGUUACGCUAAUACCGCAUACGAUCUAUGGAUGAAAGCGGGGGAUCGCAAGACCUCGCGCGAUUGGAGCGGCCGAUAUCAGAUUAGGUAGUUGGUGGGGUAAAGGCCCACCAAGCCGACGAUCUGUAGCUGGUCUGAGAGGACGACAAGCCACACUGGGACUGAGACACGGCCCAGACUCCGACGGGAGGCAGCAGUGGGGAAUUUUGGACAAUGGGCGAAAGCCUGAUCCAGCCAUGCCGCGUGCAGGAUGAAGGCCUUCGGGUUGUAAACUGCUUUUGUACGGAACGAAAAGGUUUGGCCUAAUAAGCUGAGCUCAUGACGGUACCGUAAGAAUAAGCACCGGCUAACUACGUUCCAGCCGCCGCGUAA